rnacentral:lncRNA from 1 species
CCCUUUCCCCAAUCCCAUCCCCUGUGCUCACCCCAUUCCCUGACCCCGUCCCCGUCCCCAUUCCUGUCCCUCAGCCCCGUUCCCCGUGCCCAUCCACGUCCCCUCUCCCUGUCCCCCGUUCCCAUGCCCUAUCCACAUCCCUGUCACCUGCCCCCCGUUCCCAACCCCACCCCAUAUUCCUGUCCCCAUCCUUGUCCCCCAUCCCCACCCCGUCCCUUUAUCCCCAUCCCUUCCAUGUCGCCUCUCCCUGUCCCUGCCCCUCUCUUCAUCCUUGCUCCCUCUCCCCAUCCCCUCUCCCAAUCCCCUCUUCCUGUCCCCAGCCCCGUCCCCUCUCCCCAGCCCCGUCCCCAUCCCUACGGGAAGAGGGCGUCCAGCACGCGCUGCCCGGUCAGCAGCGGGUGGUUCGCCGUCAGCUUCUCGGCCACGGGCCGGGUCUGCCUGACGGGCCAGACCUGCAUCAUGGUCAGCUUCUCCGUGCUGCCCUCGAAGUCCAGCUCCAGCACCACGUCCUGCGGGGACAACGGGGGGCAGCGGGGACGUGGGACCCCAUGGCCCCCCUCCCCGCCCCGCGCCGCCAGCCCUUACGGAGACGCUGUAGUGGCCCGGGGGCGCGAUGUGGGUGACGGUGCCGCGGCUGCGGGGGGGCACCAUGAUCUGGUGCUGGAUGAGCGAGUUCUCGGCGACUGUGCCGUAGAUGUCACCGCCGGUGACGUGGCUCCCGACCUGGCACGGGGCGGCCGUGAGGACGUGGGACUCCCCCGCCACGAGGGGAAGGGUCCCCUUGUCCCCGCGUCCCCGGGGGGGCUCACCCGGACGUGCUUGCUGGGGACGAAGUCCCAGGUGAGGUGGCGCGGCAGCGCGGGGACGUUGACGCCGCGCGGGAUGUAGAUGUUGCGGGUGAGCUGGGCGAUGUCCUUCAGCGGGCGCUGGAUCCCGUCGAAGAUGGAGCCCAGGAUGCCGGGGCCCAGCUCCACCGAGAGCGGCUGCCCCGUGCGCAGCACCGGGUCCCCCACCCGCACCCCCGCUGCGC